CCUACGGGAGGCAGCAGUGGGGAAUAUUGGGCAAUGGACGCAAGUCUGACCCAGCAACGCCGCGUGAAGGAAGAAGGCUUUCGGGUUGUAAACUUCUUUUAAGGGGGAAGAGCAGAAGACGGUACCCCUUGAAUAAGCCAUGGCUAACUACGUGCCAGCAGCCGCGGUAAUACGUAGGUGGCAAGCGUUGUCCGGAUUUACUGGGUGUAAAGGGCGUGCAGCCGGAGAGACAAGUCAGAUGUGAAAUCCACGGGCUCAACUCGUGGACUGCAUUUGAAACUGUUUCCCUUGAGUGUCGGAGAGGUAAGCGGAAUUCCUUGUGUAGCGGUGAAAUGCGUAGAUAUAAGGAAGAACACCAGUGGCGAAGGCAGAUUACUGGACGAUAACUGACGGUGAGGCGCGAAAGCGUGGGGAGCAAACAGGAUUAGAUACCCCUGUAGUC
rnacentral:rRNA from 1 species